CCCUUAGAUGUCCUGGGCCGCACGCGCGUUACACUGAUGCAUUCAACGAGCUUAUAACCUUGGCCGAGAGGCCUGGGCAAUCUUGUUAACGUGCAUCGUGAUAGGGAUAGAUUAUUGAAAUUAUUAAUCUUGAACGAGGAAUUCCUAGUAAACGCAGAUCAUCAAUCUGCAUUGAUUACGUCCCUGCCCUUUGUACACACCGCCCGUCGCACCUACCGAUUGGAUGGUCCGGUGAAGCCUCGGGAUUGUGGUUCUUGCCGCGUUAUUGUGGCGUGACCGCGAGAACUUGUCUAAACCUUAUCAUCUAGAGGAAGGUGAAGUCGUAACA
rnacentral:rRNA from 1 species